UACAGAGGUCUCAAGCGUUGUUCGGAUUCAUUGGGCGUAAAGGGUGCGUAGGUGGCGCUGUAAGUCAGGUGUGAAAUCUCGGAGCUUAACUCCGAAACUGCAUUUGAUACUGCGGUGCUCGAGGACUGGAGAGGAGACUGGAAUUUACGGUGUAGCAGUGAAAUGCGUAGAGAUGUGGAGGAACACCAAUGGCGAAGGCAGCCUUCUGGGCCAACACUGACGCUCAUGCACGAAAGCGUGGGGAGCGAACAGG
rnacentral:rRNA from 1 species